rnacentral:misc_RNA from 1 species
UGUUGGCAUUUAGCUUAAUGCUCUUUCAAUUUGAACAUUGUAUUUUCUACCAUUACUUGACCAGGUUAUAAUUUUCAGAAUAAUACGCCUGGAUGUUGUUGAGCAUCAUCAGUUUAUUGUAUUAAGAGUUGAAAUUUUUCAUGUUGCUUUCUGUUUUCAUUAGUUCUUUUUGAAUGAACUAAUGAAAACAGAAAGCAACAUGAAAAAUUUCAACUCUUAAUACAAUAAACUGAUGAUGCUCAACAACAUCCAGGCGUAUUAUUCUGAAA